rnacentral:rRNA from 1 species
UACGAAGGGGGCUAGCGUUGCUCGGAAUCACUGGGCGUAAAGGGCGCGUAGGCGGCCAUUCAAGUCGGGGGUGAAAGCCCAGGGCUCAACCCUGGAAUUGCCUUCGAUACUGUUUGGCUAGAGACCGGAAGAGGUAAGUGGAACUGCGAGUGUAGAGGUGAAAUUCGUAGAUAUUCGCAAGAACACCCGUGGCGAAGGCGGUUCUCUGGGACGGUACUGACGCUGAGACGCGAAAGCGUGGGGAGCGAACAGG